CGAAUCCUUCAGGGCAGGGUGUAAUUCCCUACCGGCGGUGAUGCAGUAUGUGAGGAUAUCUAUCCAGCAUUGAUGCAAAGUCCGUGACCCGUCUGCCUAUGGCAGAUGGCUGAUCUGGUGUAAUUCCAGAACCGACAGUAUAGUCUGGAUGGGAGAAGGAGAGG
rnacentral:ncRNA from 2 species